rnacentral:rRNA from 1 species
GACGAACGCUGGCGGCGUGCUUAACACAUGCAAGUCGAGCGGUAAGGCCCUUUCGGGGGUACACGAGCGGCGAACGGGUGAGUAACACGUGGGUAAUCUACCUUUGGGUGGGGAAUAACAGCCGGAAACGGCCGCUAAUACCGCAUAAUGCAGCGGCUCGACAUCGAGACAGUUGUUAAAGCGGGGGAUCGCAAGACCUCGCGCCUAAAGAGGAGCCUGCGGCGGAUUAGCUUGUUGGNGAGGUAAUGGCUCACCAAGGCAUCGAUCCGUAGCCGGCCUGAGAGGGCGGUCGGCCACACUGACACUGACAUACGGGUCGANACUCCUACGGGAGGCAGCAGUCGGGAAUUUUGGGCAAUGGGCGCAAGCCUGACCCACGCAA